rnacentral:rRNA from 1 species
UACGAGGGGUGCAAGCGUUGCUCGGAAUUAUUGGGCGUAAAGGGCAGGUAGGUGGUCUUAUUUGUCUUGUGUGAAAUCUAUGGGCUCAACUCAUAGUCUGCAUCGGAAACUGCCGGGCUUGAGUGUGGGAGAGGUGAGUGGAAUUCCUGGUGUAGCGGUGAAAUGCGUAGAUAUCAGGAGGAACACCUGUGGCGAAAGCGGCUCACUGGACCAUAACUGACGCUGAUGCACGAAAGCGUGGGGAGCAAACAGG